rnacentral:rRNA from 1 species
UACGUAGGGUGCAAGCGUUGUCCGGAAUUAUUGGGCGUAAAGAGCUCGUAGGCGGCUUGUCACGUCGAUUGUGAAAGCCCGAGGCUUAACCUCGGGUCUGCAGUCGAUACGGGCUAGCUAGAGUGUGGUAGGGGAGAUCGGAAUUCCUGGUGUAGCGGUGAAAUGCGCAGAUAUCAGGAGGAACACCGGUGGCGAAAGCGGCUUCCUGGUCCAGCACCGACGUUCAGGCACGAAAGCGUGGGGAGCAAACAGG